GCCGGGGUGGCGGAACUGGUAGACGCCGCGGACUUAAAAUCCGCUGGAGCUUUAGCUCCGUGCGGGUUCAACUCCCGCCCUCGGCA
rnacentral:tRNA from 1 species